rnacentral:piRNA from 1 species
UGGCUGUGGUGAUAUUAGACUUGAGG